GCAGAGAUUAAUUUAAGCUACCGUCGAGAUAUGUUGUUAACUUAUUCUACAGUUGAGAAAACGGUAAAAGGAGAAAGGACCACGGAAAAAUGUCCAUUAUAAAAUGGCUGUAUUUAGGGGUAACUCGAUACAUCUAUUACAUUCCAGCAGUACACGCCAUCACCGUUUUAUCUUGUAUUUUAAUCUUACAGUACAUAGCAUUACACGUAACAUGGUUUCAUACAGCUAACACCAUACAUACUGCACUCUCGCCACAGUUUCCAGCACUUCCGUUUUUGUUUUUCCACCUUACGACGAAACGUGAGUGGAGCAAAUCUGAGUAAGAACCUUCAAUCGCAGGUACCGCAGUUAAAUAACAGAAUCGUCCUUUCCAAGGUACAAAGGAACGUUUUAAUAAAUGGUCGUAGAGUAGAUCGACAGAAAAGUUAAGGAACGUGGUUAGUAUUUUUUCAGAUUGCCAACUGAGAGCGUUUAUCUCGUUUCUCGUCUUUCGUCUCCCGAUCGCUUUCGAGCGAAAAUAAAACCGAAUACGAAAGAAACGUAAGUUAUUUUCCAUUACCUUCCCGUUUCAAAUAUCCUUUGCUUUCUGUCGUAUCGUACUGAUAGCCAAUUUUACCGUCAUUUGUUAUUUCAAAAUAUUCCAAGCAUCGAAUCACCGGAAUGUAAAUAUCUUCGUGGAUUGGGUGUAUUUUUGUCUGUAAUACAUCUUGGCGAAAGGAACAGCAACAACAAUGAAAAAUUUCAUGAAAACGGUAAACAGUGGCUAUCAAUUGUUAAACAAUUAUUCGCACAGAAGCGUGCACAUAUCUCUCCAACUUAGGUACAAUUAAUAUUUACAUCAGUAAAAUCGUUAAUGAACACCGCGUGAAACACAUUGGUUGUAUCGGAUGAUCACGUUUCUCGUGAGCACUCGCGAUAAUGAUUCAAAGUUUCGUAGCAGCUAUUAGACAUUAAAUUAUGCUUAGAGAGGCAAUCGUAAGAACAAUGAAGAAGUAAUCGAAGCGAACUUAACGUUGUCAACGACGAAUAUAUAUUUGCAUCUAGAACGGAUCUCGCCUGUUUGUCGCUUGAGAGCACGUUUCGUCAUAACACAAUAAUAACUGUUUAGAUAUAUACUCUAGAAAAAUAACGUUAUAAACAUUCCUUACCGGUUGGGUCAAUUAGACGUUACAAACGUUACUAUAACUUUUUUUCUCAAGUAAAAAUAUAAAUAUUCUCGUUCAUAGUGCGAUAUCUCUGGUGUAAACCUCGCUUGACUUAGUGUUUACGCUAUAUUUUUUAUUUUUUUUCUCUAUUACGCUUCAAAGAUAAUUUUUCACUCUUAUUACAUCUUAUAACGCGUUUAUUCUCGUCUCCGCGCCGUAUCCGUUAGAAUUAUUUUGCACCCCGCGAAAAACCAAAGACCUAUCGAACGGGUCUCUCCCAUCGGAUUGUUGUAUCGGAUAUAGACACGUGCGUACACACGUGUUUUAAUUAACAACGACUUGUACUCGCGAUCGUUUUAAUAAAGUAAUGAAAGACGUUUUCUUAUUACAAUAAUUACUCAUGACCAUCGUUCUGUUUCGGUCGCAGUUGUUAACGAUAUAUUGUAUUGCCUACUUGCGAUGCUACUACGUUAGACCGCUUCACAUUAGGCAAACCGAGACAAAAUUUGCGACAGCGAUAGCGAGUGUAAAGAGGGAAGAAGCCGUUUUGAACUGCGAAACGUGUACUCGAAAAUAAUCUCGGCAAAUCGAGGGUAUCCGCGACGAUUUUACAUCGUUCGGACGUCUUUGACGUGGUUACGUCGAUUUGAUUAGUGUUUAUUUCGCCCUUUCGAUUUGACCGAUUUUACGAGUGUCGUCUAAACCAGGGAUUCUCAUCGUGUAACUCCUCAAAGGGUCAGGGGUGAAAGAUGUCAGAAGUUGGGAAGUCACAGCUCGAUUCGAUACAGUUAUUUUUACCAAUGAACAGUAAUCAAGGAAGGUGUGAUUAUCAUUGUACAGUGUGUGUAAAAAGUAUUCGUACAUCGAUCAAUUUCCAAAAAAAAAAAAAAAAAAAAAACUAUGUGAAGUACAAACUCUACUGUAAAUGGUUCGCCAUGAGAACCGUACGAAUAUUUAUUGUUUCUAUAUUUCUGUCGAUUUUUCGUACUUUCUUGUUAAUUUCGCAAAUUAUAUAAAUCUACAGAUUUCCAAGAAUAUGUAGAAUAUCAUUGAUUAUAAAAAAAAAGAAGUUAAUAAACUACAAUCUGACACAAAAGUUUUUUUGGGAAAUUGUUCGGUGUACGAAUCCAUACCACGUCGACUGUAAAAUAUAACUGAAAUGGGCGUGAGUCAAAACACGAUUGAGAAACACUAAUUUAGAUGGCACCCAACGAACACCAAACCUAGGAAAAGUGCAACAUGACCGUGCAAUUUCAGAUCCGCUCGACCAAGAAGUCUUCCUCUAAUCAACGUGAAUCUUUCGGGCUUCAACGAUGGGAUCGUUGCAUGUAUCCGAACGCUUCGAAACGAUUGAUUGUUUUCCAAGUAAUUAAACAAUUCUAUCAAUUUCCAUUUAAUCGUUCGUGUCGUCUGACUCUGUAGUUGCAUCCUGUGACCAUUCCCGAUCUCAAUGUGAAGCGCGGAUACUUUUACGCCAGCCGACGGACGCGAAACGUAGAUACGUUUGAUUAUACUAACGAAUAACCGGUUCGAGGACGCGUCCCGUCUCGAGGUUCAUCUGGCGGAAGGACCUCCAGAGUCACGGGACGCCCUCGCGAUUAGAACAACGUAGUUACACUUAUUUAACGAUUACGAUUAUUAUACAUCUAAGUUAAUCAAGUUUCUCCCUCCGUAUCUAGCAACGUGCGUAUUGAUUAUUUGAUUACCUCUGCAUCAUCCAACGCGUUUGAUAUCGACUAGUUUUCGGUUCCCCUGUUUUCUUGGCGCGGUCCUUGAUCAUUCUCGGUGCGACUCCGGUGCGAGGAUCGUUCUUACAAAGCCACGAGCACGCGUUUCUCAAGUUACGAUUACGGCACACGGGUUUGAAAAUGUUCUGCGAGUAGAAAUAUUCGGUUCGCUCGGUGUUUAAGGAGGCAUUCUGGUUCGCCGCUUCGAAGUGUUCAUUUUCUUUCUUUUCGUGUUUUCGUUAUAGUCUGCAUAGUAGAACUUACCGCCUUGUAAAUAAACAAAGAAAUUCAUAUUUAUACACACACAUAGUUUCUUUAACGAAAUUCUUCAGAAUCUCUUUUCGCAUAUUUAUGUCGACACUCUGUAAUUAAACACAAAGUUCACGUUUCAAUGUUUACGUAUUUCCUUAAACGAAACCUUUGAAGACCCUUGUUUUCAGCGAUUCAAACCAGAAUACCGUCUCGAGUCACGGAAACAAUUUCGCAACAUGAGCGAUAACGUACAAGCGCAUCCGGCAACCUCGAUCCAACUCACAUUUGCGCAUCGCUUGGCUCGUUCUAUCACUGUACCAAAUGACUGACGCGAAUAAAACAAACGAAGAACUAACUUCCGACGUUCCGCUGAAAAAAUAAACGCGACGUAAAAAUAAAUUCAAAUCUUCCGCAAAGUUCGAACGUCGGCGUCGUUAGUCUUCCGAGCGUUUUCCUCGUCGUCUUAGUUCCGAUUCAGAGAUUCGCGCGACGAUUAGGCGAAUCAACGGUUCCCGACGCUCUCCGGGGUAUCAAAAAUCUUACGGAAUAUCGACUCUUGAGCAACCCUAUCCGGGAAACAAUUAUGCGUGUAGAACAAGCGCCCUAUGGUCGUCCUCGAACUUCGAACAGCGCGGAUCGAAAGGAAGACUUGCGUACUCCUCUUAAGGGUGUCUGUGUCAGCGUUUCCCAAAAUGUCAUGGAACACUUCCCAAUAGUAAUGGAACACUUCGUGUCGCGAUAUAUUCAUGCUUGUAUCCUUCCAUGGUCAUCUCCUUUUUAAACUUAAGUGUACGUAGACAUCAGGUAAUUAAUGCUCGAAAUAUUUCAAAGUUGCACUCCAUACAAGAUAGUACAUAUAUUAUUGAGAGCAAACAUCGAUUUUAAUUAAUAAGAAAAGUUAUAUACACUCAUAACAAGCGACACAAAUUUCGAUUGUUACGAAGGGAGAAUUAAUCACGCUACAUCGUUGGUUUCUCGUUAAUGUCAUCGGUUGGAAAUCAAGUAUUUCGUGAUCCGUUUGAUAAGCAAUCUGCGCCAAUGUAUCGAUGACCGAAGAGAAUGAUGUUGUAAGUUAGGACGAUACAAGAUUAGUGUACAGAUAUGCAAAAUCGAUUUUAUUCUUUCCAACAGUUGAUGACGAUUUUCACAGAACACCAGUGUUCCGCGGAACACAGCUUGGGAAACGCUGGUCUGUGCAAUCAAUUUUACGCGUAAUUUGCCGUCUCGCGACGAAUACAAACGUUUACGGCUCGUCGUGUCGGUACGUAGAAUAAUUACAAUGAAAUCUGCCAGCAGAGUAGGACGUUACGAUACGAUAUACAAUUUGUACGCGCGUAUACGAUGACGUAAAUAUAAUAUAAUAUAAUGUAAUAUAAUAUAUAGAAUAGAAUAUAACGCGAUGUCGUAUGCAUUUCAAUGUAUCAUAAAAUCUGUGUCGAAGAGUAUUCUAUAAAAAUACUUUUCGGUAGGGUCGAUCAACGAUAAUUCUCUGUCGGACAGAGCUGUCCCUUAUUCGCAUAUCACCCUCGUGACGAAAGUCUUUGUACCGCGAUGCAAUCGUUUGUUACCAUAUAUUUGGGAACAGCUCUGCGCCUUGGGGUUUAGCCCUCUCAGACGCUUUUAUCGUAAUAAUUAAUACAAUUUUAUUAUUUCGUUACGAAAAUAUCGAUGAACUCUUUCCUUGAUAAUAAAAUAUGUUUAACGUCAAAGUGGUGGCAGAAAAAUACAAAAUAAAAUAAAAUAAAAUUUAUAUUUAUGUCGUUCUGCAUAAUGAAAGUGCGUCUAAUUUUCUACCAAAAAUGAUUCAGCUUUCAAAAGUUAAAAGCUCGUCUUUAGUUUACAGAAUUACCUUUUGUCUGAAAGGGUUAACCAUAGGUACUCCUUGUAUUGGGAAUUCGAGGAAAAUGGUAAGCCCCGUCGCGGGGCAAGUAUAUGUAUAAUUGAUUCGAAGGACGUGCACUGCGAUCGGAGUCCCCGCGAAUCCGCGUGAUCUAUAACAAUGAGAUAGGUACCUAUUACAAGCGCGCGUGACAAGUGUGCGUUUAGUGUCGCGUUGCGAACUGAGAUGCAUCCGCUGGACUGUUCGCAUGGUUGGUGUCCCACGCGAGUCCGAUUAAUGCGUUUGUUCGAUGCGACGGAACUGCGGGGUCUCCGAUUCUGUGCGCGAUACCUUUGGGAAAGAUAUAUACAGGAUGCGUCGUACGCCAACGAGAUUCGAGACUCUUGAACUGCGAUCGUUGUCUCGCGCUUGUUGUGCCCUGGCAAACUACACGACAGGAAAUUCGAUCGAAUGAGCACCGCAUCGAAAGAUCACGGCCGUCCUGACCCACUCCGUCGCACGUGUCUCCUGUGAAUUACUUAAAAUGCAUUCGCGCAGGACCAGCUAUUUUUAAAAGUCUUUGGUCUCGAUACAAAUAUCGGCGCCACGCGUCGAGAAACACGACACACGGGGGACAAUUCAGAUAAUGGAUGGCUGGUUCUACGAUCCGAUUGUACGUUGGGUCGGUGAAUUAACCUUUGCUUACGACAUUCGCGGAAGUUAAGCGAUUCUUUACCAAUUGAAUCCGUUUACGGUAAGUAUUCAAUCGCAUGUAAUGUCGAGCACGCGAGGAUACUGUGUCGUUGCACUGCGUUUGUUGAAGGAAACAGACCUCACACACACGAGCAGUGCUCAUGAAUUUAGUUAGAAAAAUGGGACAUUGAAUUUCAAAUAUAAAAGUACGUUGCUUAAAUCUGAAAUGGUAUUACACACAGUAUUUGAGUUACAAAUCGUCUCCGUUUCCGUUUUCAAACACGUGCUACCAUCUAAUGGGAACGAGCGGUCUAGGUUGACCGCGUCUGAUCAUGAGCGUCUGCUUCUACUGCGGUCGGUCUGGUCGGCAUUCGCAGUACUCACUGCUCGUUCUACACGAAAUCGAUCGUUCUUCCACUGGAUGUCGAAAUUUUUUAUCGGAAUGAAGAAACGAUUCGAAUGUCAUACGCGUAACAAUUAUUUUUUUUUAAUUCUAUCACACGGACUGUAAUGUCUUUUAAUCUUCAAUGAAAUGCGAUUUUCAUUUUUUUGCUCUGCGGGUAACGAAUAAUUUCUCGUCUCAAUAAUAAAAUCAAUUUUCGCCAGCUAAACAAGUAUAGAAAUGAUUCCUCGUUGAAAUAGUCACCGGAGCAACUACCUAAUAUUUAAAAGAAAACUACAACUUUUUAACGCUGUAGCGUAAGCGACGAUAAAAAAU